rnacentral:rRNA from 1 species
AUUGAACGCUGGCGGCAGGCCUAACACAUGCAAGUCGAGCGGAGCGGCGGACGGGUGAGUAAUGCCUAGGAAUCUGCAUGGUAGUGGGGGAUAACGUCCGGAAACGGGCGCUAAUACCGCAUACUAUCAGAUGAGCCUAGGUCGGAUUAGAUAGUUGGUGGGGUAAAGGCCAACCAAGGCGACGAUCCGUAACUGGUCUGAGAGGGUGGGCAGUCAAACUGGAACUGAGACACCGUCCAGACUCCUACGGGAGGCAGCAGUGGGAAAUAGUGGACAAUGGGCGAAAGCCUGAUCCAGCCAUGCCGCGUGUGUGAAGAAGGUCGUCGGAUUGUAAAGCUCUUUAAGUUGGGAGGCGUUACCAACAGAAUAAGCACCGGCUAACUUCGUGCCAGCAGCCGCGGUAAUUC